rnacentral:rRNA from 1 species
AUUGAACGCUGGCGGCAUGCCUUACACAUGCAAGUCGAACGGCAGCACGGGGGUAACCCCUGGUGGCGAGUGGCGAACGGGUGAGGAAUAUAUCGGAACGUGUCCUGUAGCGGGGGAUAACCUAUCGAAAGAUGGACUAAUACCGCAUACGACCUACGGGUGAAAGCGGAGGACCGCAAGGCUUCGCACUAUAGGAGCGGCCGAUAUCGGAUUAGCUAGUUGGCGGGGUAACGGCCCACCAAGGCGACGAUCCGUAGCUGGUCUGAGAGGACGAUCAGCCACACUGGAACUGAGACACGGUCCAGACUCCUACGGGAGGCAGCAGUGGGGAAUUUUGGACAAUGGGCGCAAGCCUGAUCCAGCCAUGCCGCGUGAGUGAAGAAGGCCUUCGGGUUGUAAAGCUCUUUCGGCGGGGACGAAACGGUUCGUGCUAAUACCACGGACUACUGACGGUACCCGCAGAAGAAGCACCGGCUAACUACGUG